AUUUUAGUUUGAACCCCCGAAACUAAGUGAGCUACUUCGAGGCAGUCUCAAGAACAAACCCGUCUCUGUCGCAAAAGAGUGGGAAGACCUCCAAGUAGGGGCGACAAACCUAUCGCACUUAGAAAUAGCUGGUUGCUCAAGAAAAGAAUUUAAGUUCAACCUAAAGUUUUCCAAUUCCAAAAAAAAUUAAUAAAACUUUAGAGCUACUCUAAUAAGGCACAGCUUAUUUGAAACAGGAUUCAACCUACAACAUUGGGUAAUAAACAAACAACAUAAAAGUAACAAGUGGGCCUAAGAGCAGCCACCUACAAAAAGCGUUAAAGCUUAAUACUUAAACUACACUAAUUCCACUACCACCCCAGAACCCCUCACCAAUAUUAAGCAACUCCAUAAAUUUAUGGAAGCUAUUAUGCUAGAACAAGUAACAAGAAACAGCCUUUCUCCUAAAUGUAAGCCUAAGCCGCAAUAGACCCACUACCGGCAAUUAACGCAAGUGAAAAUACUACAGCAACCCGAACAAGAAAACUCUGUAUUAGUAUACGUUACCCUUACA
rnacentral:rRNA from 1 species